rnacentral:misc_RNA from 1 species
GAAAGCACAUUCCUCCUAGUCAUGUAAGUAUUUCAAAUCCUGAAUCUGGUCUGUAAUGAGCUGUAAAAUAGAGGUAAAGUCAUAGAUGCCGUGCAGUGGCUCAACCAGAUGGACAUUUUUUUUUAAUGAGCAGCUCUGAUGAAAUGUUAUAUGAUGGUUCUCCUCACUGCAAAGUUUUAUGCAUGUCAAGUGGCUGCUGGGCCUGCUCAAAUAUUGCUAAUGUUUUGCCCUGACUUUUUUAUUCCUAACCAAUUCUCUUGAGUUGAUGAAUUGUGGUCUUUUGUCACAAUUUUGGAAAAACGGUAGACUUUGUCUUUUCUGUAUGAGAAUAUCUCUUUCCACAUGUGUAAACCAGCCAUUCCAUGCAUGACAAUGGUAAUUUCCCUUAUGCGCUCACUAGUUUUUACCUAUACAUGACCUGGACUUUUGAGUUUUUCACCCCUAAUGUGGUGUAGCCUUUUCUUCUUUACAAUUCAUUUUUUAUUUGUUUUACAAAAUGAGACUUCAAGGAAAUUGAAAUUUUUGACCAAAGGAGCAUGGAUUACUCAAGAAUUCAGUUCUAUUAUUACAAAAAAAGAAGGCAAGGCCCACUAUCAAAGACCAAAACAAUGUCCUAUACUUUCAUUCCCUUGUAAAUAGGGGUAAUAUGGGCGGGCGGGGAAGACAUUGCCUCAAACUCGCAAAGGUGGGCAACCUCACUAAGGCGCACCCAGGCGCGCAGUAGCAAGGUCAACUCCACCGUUGCAGAAAAAGCAACUGGAGGGGAAAAAAAGAACUAGACGAAGAAGAGGAAGAAGGAGAAGGAG